CACGUAGGGUGCGAGCGUUGUCCGGAAUUAUUGGGCGUAAAGAGCUCGUAGGCGGUGUGCCGCGUCGGCCGUGAAAACCUGCAGCUUAACUGUGGGCUUGCGGUCGAUACGGGCAUCACUGGAGUUCGGCAGGGGAGACUGGAAUUCCUGGUGUAGCGGUGAAAUGCGCAGAUAUCAGGAGGAACACCGGUGGCGAAGGCGGGUCUCUGGGCCACUACUGACGCUGAGAAGCGAAAGCAUGGGGAGCGAACAGG
rnacentral:rRNA from 1 species